rnacentral:rRNA from 1 species
UACGAAGGGGGCUAGCGUUGUUCGGAAUCACUGGGCGUAAAGGGUGCGUAGGCGGGUCUUUAAGUCAGGGGUGAAAUCCUGGAGCUCAACUCCAGAACUGCCUUUGAUACUGAAGAUCUUGAGUCCGGGAGAGGUGAGUGGAACUGCGAGUGUAGAGGUGAAAUUCGUAGAUAUUCGCAAGAACACCAGUGGCGAAGGCGGCUCACUGGCCCGGUACUGACGCUGAGGCACGAAAGCGUGGGGAGCAAACAGGG